rnacentral:sRNA from 1 species
GGAAGUAAAAGUCGUAACAAGGUUUCCGUAGGUGAACCUGCGGAAGGAUCAUUAGUGAAUUGAAUAUGUUAGCGGACCUCUUCGGAGUCCCUAGCAUCAAAUCAUAUCCAUAACACCUGUGAACUGUAAGGCUGUCUUGAAAACGAAAGUGAUUAGAGCGCCUGCCCAUUUUAUACAAACAUUAAAGUAACAAACGUAGUCUUAUUAUAAUCUAAUAAAACUUUCAACAACGGAUCUCUUGGCUCUCGCAUCGAUGAAGAACGCAGCGAAAUGCGAUAAGUAAUGUGAAUUGCAGAAUUCAGUGAAUCAUCGAAUCUUUGAACGCACCUUGCGCUCUUUGGUAUUCCGAAGAGCAUGCCUGUUUGAGUGUCAUGAAAAUAUCAGCCUUGACUUGGGUUUAGUGCUCUUGUCUUGGCUUGGAUUUGGCUGUUUGCCGCUCGAAAGAGUCGGCUCAGCUUAAAAGUAUUAGCUGGAUCUGUCUUUGAGGCUUGGUUUGACUUGGCGUAAUAAGUUAUUUCGCUGAGGACAAUCUUCGGAUUGGCCGAGUUUCUGGGACGUUUGUCCGCUUUCUAAUACAAGUUCUAGCUUGCUAGACAUGACUUUUUUAUUAUCUGGCCUCAAAUCAGGUAGGACUACCCGCUGAACUUAAGCAUAUCAAUAAGCGGAGGAAAAGAAACUAACAAGGAUUCCCCUAGUAACGGCGAGUGAAGCGGGAAGAGCUCAAAUUUGAAAUCUGGUGGCCUCAGGCUAUCCGAGUUGUAAUCUAUAGAAACAUUUUCCGCGUUGGCCCAUGUACAAGUCUCUUGGAAUAGAGCGUCAUAGAGGGUGAGAAUCCCGUCCUUGACAUGGACUACCAGUGCUUUGUGAUAUGUUUUCAACGAGUC